GACGAACGCUGGCGGCGUGCUUAACACAUGCAAGUCGAACGGAAAGGCCCUGCUUUUGUGGGGUGCUCGAGUGGCGAACGGGUGAGUAACACGUGAGUAACCUGCCCUUGACUUUGGGAUAACUUCAGGAAACUGGGGCUAAUACCGGAUAGGAGCUCCUGCUGCAGGGUGGGGGUUGGAAAGUUUCGGCGGUUGGGGAUGGACUCGCGGCUUAUCAGCUUGUUGGUGGGGUAGUGGCUUACCAAGGCUUUGACGGGUAGCCGGCCUGAGAGGGUGACCGGCCACAUUGGGACUGAGAUACGGCCCAGACUGCUACGGGAGGCAGCAGUGGGGAAUAUUGCACAAUGGGCGGAAGCCUGAUGCAGCAACGCCGCGUGCGGGAUGACGGCCUUCGGGUUGUAAACCGCUUUCGCCUGUGACGAAGCGUGAGUGACGGUAAUGGGUAAAGAAGCACCGGCUAACUACGUG
rnacentral:rRNA from 1 species